rnacentral:rRNA from 1 species
AUGUGUUGCCUUUUCCCCCUGCCCACAACAAGUUACUCUAUUAGACCUCGGUAUCUGAUAUUUUUCUCUUUUCAGUGGUUUCCAAAGAUAUUUACUGAUGAUUACCUUGCAAACUACAUGACCGGGGUGGAGGCAACUAAGGUUAAAGUAUAUAAUUCAUGCUACCAUGAUAAUGCUCUAGAAGUCUUUCUGAAGGCGAUGAAGGAUGGGCAGGCGAUCAUCACAAGGGGUUGGACAAAAAUGGUUCGUGCCUAUGGCAUGCAGGAAGGCACAUUAUGGGCAUUCCGGUUCUUCAACACCGUCGACGGUCAAAAUGAUUUACACUUGUCUCUUCACCUUUUACCGCCUUUUAAUAUUGUGGUUCAUCAUAGUUAA